rnacentral:rRNA from 1 species
UACGGGUAUAGUAGGCGGACGGGUGAGUAACGCGUAGGGAAUACUAGCCCUACAGGAGGGGGAUAACGGUAUAGGAAACGGCCGCUAAUACCCCAUAUAGCCGAGAGGUGAAAUAGAAUAUAUCGCCUGAGGAUGAGCCCGCGUCUGAUUAGCUAGCUGGUGAGGUAAUGGCUCACCAAGGCAUCGAUCAGUAGCUGGUCUGAGAGGAUGAUCAGCCACACUGGGACUGAGACACGGCCCAGACUCCUACGGGAGGCAGCAGUGGGGAAUUUUCCGCAAUGGGCGCAAGCCUGACGGAGCAACGCCGCGUGAGGGAUGAAGGCCUCUGGGCUGUAAACCUCUUUUCUCAAGGAAGAAGAUCUGACGGUACUUGAGGAAUAAGCCACGGCUAAUUCCGUGCCAGCAGCCGCGGUAAUACGGGAGUGGCAAGCGUUAUCCGGAAUUAUUGGGCGUAAAGCGUCCGCAGGCGG